AACACAGACUCGCACCCACAGCAGGAGUCAUGCCGAGCAUUUCUCUGCUGCCUUUUGAGUCCAACCAACUUUUCUGGAUCAUAUGGAUUCUUUAAAUGCUGACCAGGAAAUGGAGAAACCAGAAGUACUUUCAAACAAGGUAUAUGUGACUGAAGAACUUCCUGUUCAUCCGAAUGAAGCAGCACAAGCCUGGUGGAUGGCCGCAAGAAAGUUUCCCGAGAGAGCGUGCCAGGCAGAUGUGAAGCAGCACAAAGACAGAAGAAGAAAAACCCCCACUCAGAUGGAUCUUCAUCAUCAUCAACCUUUUUCACCUCAUUCUGCUGAAGUCGUGCAGGGAGCUUCAAGCCAAGAGGACAUGAGUUGGAGCUUUAAACCAGAUCUGUGUUAUCCUCCUAACACAAACACGGCAAGGACGGAGGAUGACUAUAGAGCCUAUACAAGUAAUGAUGAAGAGGAGCUUGAAGCCCCCUUGCCGCUAAAAGAUGAUUAUGACUGGCAACAGCAUCAAUCGUUUCUCUUUCCUCCACAUUCCAUGCACAGCUGGGAGCUGCAUCAGGACGUGCACAAGAUGAGUUGCACAGCAAACGGAGGGGCAGUCCGAUGGCCUCCUCACUUCUCCCCUCACAGCUGUCAAAAAUGGGCGGAGCCUGAAAACUGCUGCUAUGGACUCCCUCAUCCGUGCAGCUUCGCCACGCCUCCGGGGAGCGUCUCGGUGAACGUGCCUCAGUUCUCCACGCCCCCUGUGGACGCCGUCUCCCAGGUGGACAUGCUGAAGCUGAGCUCCGCAGCAGGAGAGUCUUCCUCACAUCUGCAGGGGAGAACAGGAACCAUCAGCCUGCCCGACGAGUGCCGAAAUGUUCUCAUCACUCACUCUGUAGACGCCUCCUCAGAGAUUGCCACUUUCAGAGACUUCCUCACAAAACAAGGCUUUCGAACAAUUGUGAGCAAAAACUGA
rnacentral:lncRNA from 1 species